UUUAUUGAUCUUAAAAUAUUAUAGGAAGGAAAAAAGGUGUGGAGUAUGAAAAAUGAGAGGAGCACCCCUGGCUUCAUAUUCUGUGUCUAAUCUCUCCGGCGUGUUCAUUAUCAUUUAUCAGAAUGGAUGGGAAGGGAAAACCGCCCUUAUCUCCAAGGCCAAUUAAGGCACACAGAAUUGCGGAAACGAUGCGCUCUAAUCGGAUAUUUUUCGAUGGCAACAUUUAUUUCUUUACGGAGUUGGUGAGGAAAACGUAUAAGGUGAAGGAAAAGUGGUCCCAUGAAUAUGAUAAGAGUCUGGCUCAACUUGUGUUAAUCAAGUUUCGAUCUAGCCUAUCCUACAAGCCCAAACCCCUACCCAGGCCUCCCAUCUAUGGUUCUUUGGAUGACUCAGCUAGUAUUUUCGCCUCCACGGUCAAGGUUGUGUUCCAGGUGCAGGGCUGGUGGUCUUAUGAUUAUACUAAUGAUCUUGUUCAAUUAGCGAUAAUCAAGCUCAGAUCCAAUAAACCAGUUAAGCCACUUGCUAUUAAGCCACUUGCUGUUGAUGUUGCUGAUAAGCCUGUUGCUGAUAAGCCGGUUGCUGUUCCCCUUCAACAAACUCAAGGGAUCUCUGAAUAGCAAUGAGCAUGAACCAUGGUGCAAAAGAAAAUUGGGAGAGGUUGUAUUGGGAUGAUGGCUAUUCUAAGAAACUUGCUGAGGAUCAUGCUAAUUAUGAUUCACCUGAUGAUGACGAGCUACAGGAUCAAUUGUGGGGAGAAACACGGAAAGAGACACCUGGGAAAAAGCUAGCCAAAUCCGUGACAAAUUUGAAUAUGAUAGAGACAGAAGAAUGAGAGAAAAAGGAAUCCCUGGUUGUGCUAAAUCGGCACUCUGUAAUGAAAUAAUGAGUUCUCCUGGAAGGCUUGGUGAAAAGUUUGAUGGGUGAUCUUAUCAAAGCGAGAUACAAGGUGAAGGUUGAUCAAGAGAACCGCUAGAAACUGUACUGACAAAAAUGCUCCCAAUGAAGAAGUUUGGAGAAAGAUUGAGGACAUGUGUCGCAGCACAGGGGCAUCUGGUGUUCCAGUCAUACCCGACUCAGAAAGUCAAUUUUCUUUCAUGGAUUCUUAUCAACAAUUUAGGAACCUUACUGUUCUUGUGAAAACAUUGCUUCUGUUUUAUCUAUUUGAACUUGCUUCAUGUUCUUAUGAAAAUUCAAUGCUGUAUUCUUUACAA